UACGUAGGGUGCAAGCGUUGUCCGGAAUUAUUGGGCGUAAAGGGCUCGUAGGCGGUCCGUCACGUCGGCUGUGAAAACCCGGGGCUCAACCCCGGGCCUGCAGUCGAUACGGGCGGACUAGAGUUCGGCAGGGGAGACUGGAAUUCCUGGUGUAGCGGUGAAAUGCGCAGAUAUCAGGAGGAACACCGGUGGCGAAGGCGGAUCUCUGGGCCGUAACUGACGCUGAGGAGCGAAAGCAUGGGGAGCGAACAGG
rnacentral:rRNA from 1 species